UUUUUCUUCUACUUACCAAUAGGUGGCGUAUAAAUCGAGUUUUGAUGAUGACCAACAACUCGUAACAGCAAGCACCGAAGUCUGCACAUUACAGAGAUGCGCAUGCGCUCUGUUUUUACUUCUGAUUGGUCUAGGCUGCCUAAUCGGUGCUGGUAUCGGUCUCUACAUUCAUAUUAAUAACCAGACAGAUCCUACUUUGAUCAUCACAGCAGUAGGCCACCCAUAUGGGAAUGACGCCCUCUAUCCGCCAGACUUCCACAGGCCAUCUCGCUUCGGUGGCCACAUGGAUCGUCACAUGCCUGAGUUUCACCACGGGUCACGUGGUUUCGAGCCGAUGCGCCCACCACCACCACCACCUCACUUCCCUCACGGUCACCCUCCUAUCAUGGAACGCCCCUUUGGUAAUGACGGUUUAGAACCUCCCUUCGGGCACGACGCGCUGGAACCUCCCGGCCCUGAUGGUCCACGGACUCGCCUACACGAGAGACCCCCUGCUCCACCGGGACCUCUCCCUGGUGGUCCCCCUCACGGCAGGCGGCCUGGAUCAGAAGGUUCCCGUAGGCUCGGACCUGGGUACGACCUACACCACGGCGGACCCGUAGAUCACGAGCACGCUAGACGACGGGGGAAAGUCAACAGAGCUUACUAUCAUAACAACCUACCAUAAUCGACACAUCCUUAGAUCUUGAAGAUUGUCAGCUUUCUGAACGUGGAGGGCGCUCUUCGAUGUUUUCUUUCUUCCGGUCACAGACAAGAGUUUAUGGCUCCUCGAGACGUCACUUCACCACCACUCCACAGUAUGGCGGUCUAUACAGAGGGUUUGGCCAAAUAAGUUUAAGUUGGAUACAACAUGGCGUCUAUUCUUCUGUUUUGUGAUUGUCCCACAGUACAGUAUCCGCCUUAUUGUGCCCGAAUCAUUACGGGUUGGCCAAACUGUUCUAGUCAAUGGCUCUGGUUACCGAUAUCAUAGAGCGACCUCAACGGCCAGGGAUGGGCGCACUGACAUUACAUUUUAAUCACUAAGAAGUGCCUUGUAUAUUUGUUGUAUAUUACAGAUUUCAUUACAGUUUACAAAUUUUAAACUUCUUUGUGGAUUCGGGCUAUCGUGUCUAUGCCGAUGACUUGGAAAUUAGUUGUAGAUACGAAAACUGCUGAACGUAUAGUUACGAGGUUAUUUCAGCAUUUCCUUUUCCUUCCAAGCUUGUAAUAUGAAAUUGAGUUUAAAAAUAAAUAUUUCCUCCAUUUUGUAUGAUGUAUCUCAUGCUAUCGCUCAUAAGAAAAAAACAACACACAACAUGAUAAAGAUUUAGUAGAGUUCUGGUCAAAAGAUAAUAAUAUUGUUAAAGAAAUGAAACUAAUCAGGAAAAAUGUAUUGGUAUAUAAAUGUGAUGUUUAAGAAUAACAAAAAUGAUUAUAAAUUAAUUUAUGCUCGCCGACAUGGACAUAUAAAUGUGUAUAUGAGACUACCCACUUUGGAGUGAAUGUUUGGCCACAUUUGCAGCUACUUCUCACCUUAAAUAUUAUUAAAGUUUGUCUGGUUACAAUAAAUUUACAUAAUCUCUCUUUAUAUUUGUAUACACAAACAUAAAUCUGACAUAUAAGUUAACCUUUAAUAGAACGCAAACUUCUCUCACGCAAACUACUCCGGUUGACGUUCCGAUGUAGAUAACUCUAAUUAGAAAGCAAGUCUGAAUGUUCUGUUAACACAAUUCUAAGGCUAUUAUUGGACAGACAUAACUGCGAUAUUCGCAUGAAAACUUGAAAGAAUUAUUUGGAAAUACAGAGAAUCGAGGGGGAACAUAAAAACAACCUCGUAGGCCUAUCAUACGUGAUCUCAAAUCAGAAUAUUGGUCUGACUAUCAUUUUCAUGUUGACCGUGCGUUCGGACCUCACACUCGUUAUAAUGACGUCAUAAAGAGUAGAGGCAAAGCAUUAGCGGAAAUGGUAAAGACUUUCACGGGGGCAAAGUCAUUCAAAAACAUAAUAUUUUAAAUAAAGAGUAAGAACGUAUUAAUUCCAAAAUAUUGUGCAAUACAUUACAUAUGAUCUUGAUCGAUCACAUAUAUAUGACGUCAUCCAUGGUAUAGUGCCAUGGUAUUUUACACUAUACCAUGGAUGACGUCACGGUUACAUCAUAGCAAUUUUAUGUUUGGUCACAUGAUGCUAUGUUGACCAAUCACUGGAGAGAAUUUCAUUGGUCAAAAAUAUAUUGUGCACUAUAUUACAUAUAAUCGUAUGUAAAUGAAUAUGAAUCCUUUCAGUUAUUUGAAUAUAAUGUACAGAAAGCAUGAAAUAUAACAUUGGUAAAUUUCGUUGAAUAUUAUUGCAUGUGAAAUGAAAUAUAUAUGUUGUACAUACAGUAGGGCACUUUUAGCGAUCAUGUUAUGAUCAAACUCACGUAAGAGUUGAUGCACCUUUCUUUUAAAUGUAAAUAGUCCCCCUCCAAAAAGUUAAGCGACUCUAGUUAAAUUAAUGAUAUUUCUCUUGUCAUAAGAUGAUCAUCACUUUGUUUGGGAUUAUUAUAAACUAUGCUUAUUAUAUUUAUAAUAAUGACACCAUAUUUGAUAGGAUUCUCCAGCCAAGGAAUCAGCAGUAUAUCAUAUUAAGGGGGUAGUCAGAAAUAAUAAUGACGUCACGAAGAGUAGAAGCAAAACACGUUGGCUGAAAUGGUAAGAUCUUUCUUAGGGGCAAAGUCAUGCAAAACAAAUAAGAUAUUGAAUAAAGGGUAAAAACAUAUUAAUUCAAAAAAUGUUGUGCAAUAUAUUAUUGAUAUUGUUGUAUCGUGCACUACAGAGCAGCCGUACACUCGUCAAAGAAAGAAUAAUGCACAGCCAAACAAUAUUAGUGCAUUCUGCUAUGUUUUACUUUUAACCUCGCCCCUUAUAUUGAUGUAAAGCACAUUCCAUGAUUACAAAUCAUAACAAUUCAAGCAAGAAUAACGAAACUUUUUAAUAAUACUUAAAGGGAGUGUAUCAUGAUGGGACUAUGUGUCAACACACGCGAAACCGAAGCGUGAGUAGAACUUCGGUCCGUUUCGCGAACGCUAGCGCGCGCUGACCCAGUUAAUCAAGUCCAUUCGUUUACGUGUAGUUGUCCAAAAGAACACGUAGAUGGCGUUAAUCAGUAUUUCCUAUGAUACACUCCCUUUAACGGUACGAUGGUUAUGGUUAUGAAAGUGAGAUAUAAUUAAUCAAACUUGAGAUUCCAAACUUUAUUUGAUGAAUUUAGUUUAUUCCACUGACUUAAUUACAUGCCGCAUGAGUUGCAUGGAAAUGGAAAAACAGUAAGGAUACAAUCCCAGUUUAACAGUUGUUCUUUGAUCAUUCUUAGAAACAGAAAUUCCAAUAUCAAUAAUCAUACAAGAUCGUCUUUAUUGUUUAAUGUGCACAUUAUUAUGUUAUAGCGUGUAAUUAUAUAUGUUUCUUCUGUAGUUAUUUAGCACGUAAAUAUUAUUUCGGUAGUAGCUAAUUUUUGUAAAUAAAAUGUCUUGAUCUAAGAGAAUUUAUUAAAUUGUACAAACAAUCUA